rnacentral:rRNA from 1 species
GGGGGCGGGAAUCAAGUUGCUGCAGUUAAAAGCUCGUAGUUGGAUCUCGGUAUCAUUGUUGCCUGCUGGCCUUAGAGGCGUUCGCCGGCCUAUCAGUGCAUGGGUGAGCCUGUGUAUUGUGUGGCUGGCAGCUUUGGGUCGGUGUGGCGGCGGUGACACCUUUCAGCCAUGUCUGUGGUGAAAUAUCCACAGGUGUAGGCGAGUGCCAGGCGUAGCCCUGCAACUGUGGGGUUCGUCGGCUUGUCUGCAUGCCUAUGGAUGCCCUUCAAAAGGUGUCUGUGGGCGGAUGGCACGUUUACUUUGAACAAAUUUGAGUGCUCAAACCAGGCCGAUGCUGCCUGAAAAGUUUUGCAUGGAAUAAUGGAAUAGGACUUCGGUUCUAUUCGUUGUCGACCAAAC